rnacentral:rRNA from 1 species
UACGGAGGGUGCAAGCGUUGCUCGGAAUCACUGGGCGUAAAGCGUACGCAGGCGGCCGUGCAAGUCGGAUGUGAAAGCCCGGGGCUCAACCCCGGAAUUGCAUUCGAAACUGCACGGCUUGAGUACGGGAGAGGGAAGCAGAAUUCCUGGUGUAGAGGUGAAAUUCGUAGAUAUCAGGAGGAAUACCUGUGGCGAAAGCGGCUUCCUGGCCCGAUACUGACGCUCAUGUACGAAAGCGUGGGGAGCAAACAGG